AUUGAACGCUGGCGGCAGGCCUAACACAUGCAAGUCGAGCGAGCGGCGGACGGGUGAGUAAUGUAUGGGGAACUGCCCGAUAGAGGGGGAUAACUACUGGAAACGGUAGCUAAUACCGCAUACCAUCGGAUGUACCCAUAUGGGAUUAGCUAGUAGGUGGGGUAACGGCUUACCUAGGCGACGAUCCCUAGCUGGUCUGAGAGGAUGAUCAGCCACACUGGGACUGAGACACGGUCCAGACUCCUACGGGAGGCAGCAGUGGGGAAUAUUGCACAAUGGGCGCAAGCCUGAUGCAGCCAUGCCGCGUGUGUGAAGAAGGCCUUAGGGUUGUAAAGUACUUUCAGUGGGGAGGCGUUACCCACAGAAGAAGCACCGGCUAACUCCGUGCCAGCAGCCGCGGUAAUAC
rnacentral:rRNA from 1 species